AGAAAGCUUUCUCUGCUU
rnacentral:snRNA from 1 species